GAUCAGCCUGCUCAACUGCUCCAACGCCACGGUAGGGGCAGGGGCGGGGACAGGUGGCUCCGGGACCCUCAGUCCCUCGGACCAGCCGGGUUUUGUUUUCCUGUGGCCACAGCCCGAGGUGCCAGGUGUGGGGCGUUCCUUGGACAGUCAAGGGCCUCCUGCUGCAGUUCUUCACUGUUUUAUUAAUAUCCACGAGUCAUCAUGGAGCACACAGAAAUCUCACCCUGACACCAAGAGUCGUCAUGGUCUCUGCCUGGGUCACCACAGUGAGCCCUGUGGCUCAGCUUUGCACCUGUGGCUGACGUCAUUGCUGAGGACUUGGUCCUGUCCAUGGAGCAGAUCAACUGGCUGUCACUGGUCUACCUCGUGGUAUCCACCCCAUUUGGCGUGGCGGCCAUCUGGAUCCUGGACUCCGUCGGGCUCCGUGCGGCGCCAAGCUGGCUGCCUUGUGGUUCCCAGAGCACCAGCGAGCCACGGCCAACAUGCUCGCCACCAUGU
rnacentral:lncRNA from 1 species